CUCAACUCGUCAAGGUUUAUCGAAAGGCAAAAGUUCGUCCAUCGACCGAAGCUGAAAAAAAAAACAAGCAGCAAAACUGCAUUCUGCUCACGUUUUUUUUCCAAUUCGGUACAUCAUCAUUUAUUCGGCGAAAACAAAGGUGUCACGUUUUGCCAGUUUUUCCAUUCCACGUGGCAAUUGGCAGCUGUAGAGGGAGAGGCACUAGACAUUGGUGCAUCUUUGGAACAACCUACCUCAAACCAUGCAACAUUAGGUCAUCUACCAACGAAAGUGAAACCGAAGAAAGUAAUGACAUUCUGUGAGAGAGAUGUUAAAAGGUGGUUGAGGACUUGCACAGAAAAAGGAGAAAAAAAAAGAAAACAAACGGAUUGCCGUUGCAAUUGAAGAGCACUUUAUGGAAGGAAAUAAGCACUAAGAGGCAAUCGCAAGCGAAAGUAUGCAAAAACACUUGACCUUGUUGGCAUUGCCUUUGAAUUUUCAACAAGAUACAAAGAAAAAAGAGCAUAAGUAUUUAACACAACACCUCUACCAGAGCUGCUAGGUUCGAUAUGAUUAGAAGUAUUUGAAAUUAUAUGGAAGCAAAUAUCCAUAACUAUUUUUGCUCCUAAUCCCAACUUAUCUUUUUUACAAAUUUGACCGAGUCAUGAAGCUCCGCGGUAACACUUCCAUCUCAUAA